rnacentral:rRNA from 1 species
GUAAGACCCCUCAAGGACUAUGAGGUUGAUAGGCUGCAGGUGUAAGAGUAGUGAUACUUUCAGCUGGGCAGUACUAAUAGGUCGAGGGCUUGACCAU